rnacentral:rRNA from 1 species
ACGCCGCGUGAGGGAUGAAGGCCUCUGGGCUGUAAACCUCUUUUCUCAAGGAAGAAGAUCUGACGGUACUUGAGGAAUAAGCCACGGCUAAUUCCGUGCCAGCAGCCGCGGUAAUACGGGAGUGGCAAGCGUUAUCCGGAAUUAUUGGGCGUAAAGCGUCCGCAGGCGGCCUUACAAGUCUGUCGUUAAAGCGUGGAGCUUAACUCCAUUUAAGCGAUGGAAACUGUAAGGCUAGAGUGUGGUAGGGGCAGAGGGAAUUCCCGGUGUAGCGGUGAAAUGCGUAGAUAUCGGGAAGAACACCAGUGGCGAAGGCGCUCUGCUGGGCCAUAACUGACGCUCAUGGACGAAAGCCAGGGGAGCGAAAGGGAUUAGAUACCCCUGUAGUCCUGGCCGUAAACGAUGAACACUAGGUGUCGGGGGAAUCGANCCCCCCGGUGUCGUAGCCAACGCGUUAAGUGUUCCGCCUGGGGAGUACGCACGCAAGUGUGAAACUCAAAGGAAUUGACGGGGGCCCGCACAAGCGGUGGAGUAUGUGGGUUUAAUUCGAUGCAACGCGAAAGAACUUACCAGGCUUGACAUCCUGGGAAUCCCUUGUGAACGGGGAGUGCUUCGGGAGC